rnacentral:rRNA from 1 species
UACGGAGGUUGCAAGCGUUAUCCGGAUUUAUUAGGUUUAAAGGGUGCGUAGGCGGGCAAUUAAGUCAGUGGUGAAAAUAUGUGGCUCAACCAUAUACCUGCCAUUGAUACUGAUAGUCUUGAAUUUAGUUGAGGUAGGCGGAAUGUGUAGUGUAGCGGUGAAAUGCUUAGAUAUUACACAGAACACCAAUUGCGAAGGCAGCUUACUAAACUACGAUUGACGCUGAUGCACGAAAGCGUGGGUAGCGAACAGG